rnacentral:rRNA from 1 species
UCGCUCCUACCGAUUGAAUGACACGGUGAAUUCUCAAGAUUGGGAUAUUCUCACAGGAAACUGUGUACUAUAUUCUGAGAAUUUGAAUAAACCUUAUCAUUUAGAGGAAGGAG